rnacentral:misc_RNA from 1 species
UGAUCGGAAAACCGGUUUCCACUUUUCCGCAUCAUGAUCGUUCGUAAACCGUAAGCGUGUCUUUAUCCAAAGUCUCGGUAGCACGCGCGCGCCAGCGAGGCGACUGGGUGACCACCGACAACGGCUGCGUAUCGAGCGCCGGAAUACCAUCCAUGCCGAUAGCGCCCUGCCCCCGCAGCAGCCAGACCUCGUCGACUAGCCCCGCACUCAGGAAUGACGACGCCACGCGUGCGCCGCCCUCCACCAUCAGCCGGGUGAUGCCGCGCUCAGCCAGCGUGUUUAGAACCGAUUUCAGAUUUAGGCCGGGCGGCGAUCCAUCGCUCACCGGCACGCGCAUCACCUGCGCGCCCGCAGCGCCGAG